AGAGUUUGAUCCUGGCUCAGAACGAACGCUGGCGGCAUGCCUAACACAUGCAAGUCGAACGAGACCUUCGGGUCUAGUGGCGCACGGGUGCGUAACGCGUGGGAACCUGCCUUUAGGUUCGGAAUAACUCAGAGAAAUUUGAGCUAAUACCGGAUAAUGUCUUCGGACCAAAGAUUUAUCGCCUUUAGAUGGGCCCGCGUUGGAUUAGCUAGUUGGUGGGGUAAAGGCCUACCAAGGCGACGAUCCAUAGCUGGUCUGAGAGGAUGAUCAGCCACACUGGGGACUGAGACACGGCCCAGACUCCUACGGGAGGCAGCAGUGGGGAAUAUUGGACAAUGGGCGAAAGCCUAAUCCAGCAAUGCCGCGUGAGUGAUGAAGGCCUUAGGGUUGUAAAGCUCUUUUGCCAGGGAAGAUGAUGACUGUACCUGGAGAAUAAGCCCCGGCUAACUUCGUG
rnacentral:rRNA from 1 species